rnacentral:rRNA from 1 species
UAGAUACCCUAUUAUAUUGAGCGUUAAUUUUGCACUUGGGUAGUAGUAGUUAUGUUCUUGAAACCCAAAGAAUUUGGCGGUAUUUUAGUCUUUUUAGAGGAACCUGUUCUGUAAUCGAUACUCCACGAUUUUAUCAACUUGUUUUUGUUUUCAGUUUUUAUAUCUCCGUCAUAAGAAUUUUUUUUUAGGAUGAAUUUUCUUGAUUGCUUAAGGCAAUUAUGUCAGGUCAAGGUGAAGCUAAUAGACAAGUAGAAAUGGGUUACAAUAACAUUAUUUAUACGGAUUAUUAUUUUUGUUAAAUAUGAAGGUGGAUUUAAAGGUAAAUUUAAUUAAUUAAUUUUUUUGAUUUUAGCUCUAAAAUAUGC